rnacentral:snoRNA from 1 species
CCAACAUGGAGAUCCAGUGAGGUGGCUGUCAUAUAGCUCUAUCCAAGUGUCUUAUGGGAGCAUAGUUCUGAGGAAUGAUGUAGAGUCCCAUUCCAUAAUGCUGCGGACAAGCUUAUACUCCAAGGUUGAUGAGAGAACCAUCCUUUGUAUUUCUUCAAUUUCCUAGUACUUGAUCACUUAACUGGAAAAACGAACCAUGCAGAAUAUAAUC